UUGAAUCGUCUUGUGAUACGUUUCGUUGAAGAUUGCAGCAUAACUUCUGACAUUUCUUGUUCAAAACAGUGCUUGUUGGUUAUUAAAGCAUUCAUUAUCAAUACUGUUAAUUGAAUUUGGGCUUCUAGGAACAACAUCAGGUUCCAAAAUGUUGUCAACAAUUGGAUAUCGACUACUGCUUCCAUUUUGUCUCAUACGACAUUAUCUGGGAAUAUCUCUAACACUUGUUCCAGUGUUUCUAUCUAAGAUUUUGUGCUUUUAAAUAGUUUUAAGGUGGUGUCUCGCCCUCCUAAACAUCGCAUGGUGAAGGAAAUUUUGUGGUUCCCCAUGCUCCAAACUAGAUAAAGGUUAGCACUGACGGUACUUCGG
rnacentral:lncRNA from 1 species